CAAAACUUUCAACAACGGAUCUCUUGGCUCUGGCAUCGAUGAAGAACGCAGCGAAAUGCGAUAAGUAAUGUGAAUUGCAGAACUCAGUGAACCAUCGAAUCUUUGAACGCACAUUGCGCCCGCCAGUAUUCUGGCGGGCAUGCCUGUUCGAGCGUCAUUUCAACCCUC
rnacentral:rRNA from 1 species